AGGAAAUGGGGCAGCCAGGAGUGCUCGAGAACAGAUGGGGCCAGGCACCAUGGCCCACACUUGUAAUCCCAGCACUUUGGGAGGCCAAGGCAGGCAGAUCACUUGAGUUUGCUGUGCCAUUUCUCAUGCCAGGAGUGCCUGUCCUCCCUGUCUACCCAUCUCUGCUGCUCCAGCUCAUAAAGCUUCCUUGAAACAGUGCCAGCCAAAUCUGAUUCCUGUCUCCUCUGAACGCCCAGCACACUCAGUUUGUACCUUUCUCACGGCACAGCGUGUGGCCUGUCUCAUAUUCUAGCGAUCUGUUUACUAAUCCUGUUCUUCUAACCAGAUUAGAAAGUCCUUGAGGCAGAAACAAAGUCUGCUUCUUCUUUGAGCCCUCUCCUCCACUGCCCCCGCCUCCCACCACCAUUCCAACUCAUCCCCCACAGGCCAGGCUUGGCACCGGAGUUCAUGUUCAAUAAAUAUUGGGUGUAUUGAAAUG
rnacentral:lncRNA from 10 species